rnacentral:tRNA from 1 species
GGACUUGUGGUGUACUGGUAACACAUUGCAUCCGGACGUGAACAGGGAUGGUUCGACUCCCUCCUAGUCCA